AUGCAAAAUUGUGGAGCAGAAAAACAAGCUGGAAGCUUACUCGGGGAUGCAGGCCAGCGACAACCCCACAGCCGAAGGCGACAAGGUUGCGCCAGACAUCAAAGAGAAGUAGCACGCUCGGGCCUGCUAGGAGCUCCGGGCUUGGUGGGUGUGGACCAUGACAUUACCGAGGAGUAUUCUUUAUUGGAGAGACCAAGACUAUCGAGAAAGAAAGAAGCCGAUCUGGCCCCCUGGGACCUGCGGCCACAGCUGGAGAGGGCGUCUCCCCCUUGUCGACGAGGUUUGGCGCCGGUGCUCGGUGCGCCGUCUUGGCUGUGCUGGGCGGCGAGUCAGCGGUGGGCUUGGAUCCGAUCUGAAGUUGGUGGCAUCACCAUGCUUGUCCUCCUUUGUUAG
rnacentral:rRNA from 1 species